AAACCGCAUCAGACAAUUGUCUCUUCCUCCUUUUAGGGCCCCAAGGUGGCUUGCACUUAGGGACAGCAUCCUUCCCUGUGGCUCAUGUUUCUGAUGUGCUGGGCUCUUCAGCAUGCCUCUUCAACCUGGUACUGUGGAUGCUCUGAAGGCCCCUUCUUGGCCAUGCCUGAUUUUCAGAAAUGUUCACCUGGUCGUCAACUCUGCAGAAACAAUGGUCGUGGUGUCUUCCUCAACAAAGAUAACAGAUAGAUGCGGGGCCUUGAGAGUACUUGGAACUCCCUGGCUACUGACUGAACAGUGGACUCGAUGUGGAAACUAUGUUGUCGAAACCCUCCAUCUGAAUAUUCCAGAGACAUCUAGAUGCCCCUGACUGUAAUCAGAUCACUUGUCUGAGCAUCAGGACAUGCACACAUACAAGAGUCAACACUUGGUAAUCCCGUGCUUUGCACUUUUGUCUGGAAAUGCUAUUAGACUGACACAAGUGAGCACUGA
rnacentral:lncRNA from 1 species